rnacentral:rRNA from 1 species
AGAUACCCGGGUAGUCCACGCCGUAAACGAUGUCUACUCGGAGUUUGGUGUCUUGAACACUGGGCUCUUAAGCUAACGCAUUAAGUAGACCGCCUGGGGAGUACGGCCGCAAGGUUAAAACUCAAAUGAAUUGACGGGGGCCCGCACAAGCGGUGGAGCAUGUGGUUUAAUUCGAUGCAACGCGAAGAACCUUACCUACUCUUGACAUCCAGUGAAGCAGAAAGAGAUUUUUGUGUGCCUUCGGGAACACUGAGACAGGUGCUGCAUGGCCGCCGUCAG